rnacentral:rRNA from 1 species
UCUCAAUUAUAACUAUCAACAACGGAUCUCUUGGCUCUCACAUCGAUGAAGAACGCAGCGAACCGCGAUAUUUUUUGUGACUUGCAGAUGUGAAUCAUCAAUCUUUGAACGCACAUUGCGCGGUAUGGCAUUCCGUACCGCACGGAUGGAGGAGCGUGUUCCC